rnacentral:lncRNA from 1 species
GCCCAGAAAUGAGACUAGCUAUGACAGUAGGUGGAUAGUGUUGUGUGAUUUAAGAGUAUUGGGAAGAUGACUUUUACCUUCCUGAGCACAUAUGAUAGAGAAUGUGCCCCUCUACACCAUCAGUAGUAUUUAGGGUUUGCCUUCUAACACUUGAUUGUUUUUCUCUGAUUCCUUAACAACCCUGCAGUACAAGUAAACCAAAUCAAGGAAUCAGAUCACUGUUAUUUUCCCAUUUAUUUUCUUUCCUUCUCCAUGGACCUGUCAUAGAAUCAAUACUUUUUAGUUGUGGGGAACUUGAAUAGGACCUUCCUCUUGCAUUUUUAUUGAAAAGACAACACAAUAAUUUUUUUUUCUCGGCACUGUAUUGAACACCUAGCACUGAUGCAUUUAACCCUUGCAACAAUUUUAUGACAUAGAUUAUUGUUAUAAAUUAUUCCUAGUUUACUGGUUUAGAGAGUUUACAGGUCCAGUGCCACACAGCAGAGAAGCAUUAGGACUCCUGUCCCUUGGCUCCUUAAGUGAAGCCUGGUCCCAGAGGCAGCUGGAACAUUUUAUCCUGGAACAGUGGAACCUUAAUAUGUUUAGCCUAGUUCCCAUUUUUGCCUCUAGUGCAAAGACAGCCCCCAUUAGCAUUGCCCAUUCUUAAUUACAGUACUUACUUAUCCUUGAUUCUGAGUUAAAAAAAAAAAAACCCUGUUAUUUCAUCACUGUUUCAUCCUCUUGUUAGGAUUCUGGCCAGGUGCUGUAGCUCAUGCCUGUAAUCCCAGCACGUUGGGAAGCUGAGGCAGGCAGAACCCUUGAGGCCAGGAGUUGGAGACCAGCCUGGUCAACAUGAUGAAACCCCAUCUCUACCAAAAAUACAAAGAAAAAAUUAGGCAUAGUGGCUGUAUUCCCAGCUACUCCGGAUGCUGAGGCGUGAGAAUCGCUUGAACCUGGGAGGCAGAGGUUGUAGUGAGCCAAGAUUGCACUCCAGCCUGGGCGACAGAGCAAGACUCUGUCUCUAAUUAAUUAAUGUAGAAUUCUAAUAAUAAUUUAAAAGCUCAGACCUUAAUUAAAACUGUUAGCCUUUCAGCAGCAAUGAACUGCAGGCCUACCUAGAUAUGAAAAUCUAGCUUUUAGCCCUUCUGCAGGAAAAACAAAAAAUUAUUUUUCUCUAAACCUGCAAUUCUAUAGGUCUUUUGUUUUUCUCUUUUUUUUUUUUCUUUUUUUUUUUUUUGAGACAGAGUCUCAUUCUGUUACCCAGGCUGGAAUGCAGUGGCGCAGUCACGGCUCACUGCAUCCUCGAACUCCCUGGGCUCAGGUGAUCCUCCCACCUCAGCCUCCUGCACAGCUGGGACUACAUACACAUGCCACCACGCCCUGCUAAUUUUUGUAUUUUUUGUAGAGACAGGGUUUCACCAUGUUGCCCAGUCUCAAACUCCUAGACUCAAGUUACCCACCUACCUCAGCCUCCCAAAGUGCUUGGAUUACAGGCGUGAGCCACUGUGCCCAGCCAGGCCUUUAUUUUAUACAUAGAUAACAAAUUCUUAGACAUUCUAUAUAAUUCCUGGAGCUUACCCCAAAAUCGAAGUCUUAAAAAUAAUGUUUUUAAAUCUUGGGACAAGAAAGCAGAAUGUAUGUGAUUACACACAGGUUCACUGACUUUGUAUUGGCCAAAAUUAAAUCAGGCCUAUUGCUUAAUCACCUUUCAUUUAUUGCCCCUGAGUAUGACUGUUUUAGCAAGUGGUGUACUGCAGGUGUUAUACUACCUUAUUUCUUCACAGUGUAUAUAUUUGCACACUUGUUUGGUUUGAUUUUCUCUCACUUUCAAAAGACAUCUGUUUAACCUGCCAUUUUAGCCCCAGCACAAAAUCAUUAUUCAGUGAAUGAAUGAAUGCAUGUGUGAAUGAUGAGCCUCAUCCCACUUCUAACUUGCUUGAGCAUGGGGCAUCUCUCUUCACUUUAGUUGUAACAAGUGAAAUACUGGGCCUUUGCUCAUUCUUUGCCCUAUUUCCUUCUUUUUUUUUUUUUUUUUUUUUUUGAGAUGGAGUUUCACUCUUGUUGCUCAGGCUGGUGCAAUCUCGGCUCACUGCAACCUCCACCUCUUGGGUUCAAGCGAUUCUCCUGCUUCAGCCUCCCGAGUAGUUGGGAUUACAGAUGACCACCACCACGCCUGGCUUGUAUUUUUAAUAGAAACGGGGUUCCACCAUGUUGGUCAGGCUGGUCUCAAACUCCUGACCUCAGGUGAUCCGCCUGCCUCAGCCUCCCAAAGUGCUAGGAUUACAAUUGUGAGUCACAGUGCCCAACCCCUACUUCCUUUUUGUUUCCUUAUUCUUAAACACCUUAUAAGGUUUUUACUGCUACCCAUGAGAAACAAACUUCCUCUUGUUCGCUCUAGUCUAUACCUGAAUAUUCACUCUUCUUUAUAUUUCUAAACCCAAAAAAAGGACACAUAACCCGACAAAGGAUUUUUUCAAAUAUUCUGAAUUUAUUUGCUAACACUUUGAGAAUAUUUAAUCAUAUUUAGUUAUAAUGUUAGAGUGAUCAUUAUAUUGAAAUUUUUAAUGAUAUAAAAAUAGAAUUUCUUAGCCAGACGUGGUGGCACUCAUCUAUAGUUCCAGCUACUCAGGAG